rnacentral:rRNA from 1 species
UACGAAGGGGGCUAGCGUUGUUCGGAAUUACUGGGCGUAAAGGGCGCGUAGGCGGUGUGUCAAGUCAGGCGUGAAAGCCCCGGGCUCAACCUGGGAACAGCGCUUGAGACUGGCACGCUCGAGUUCGGGAGAGGAUGGUGGAAUUCCCAGUGUAGAGGUGAAAUUCGUAGAUAUUGGGAAGAACACCGAUGGCGAAGGCAGCCAUCUGGACCGACACUGACGCUGAGGCGCGAAGCCAGGGAG